GGGGUCGUGGGUUUUUAGCAAUCCUUAACCCACUGAGCAAGGCCAGGGAUCGAACCCACAACCUCAUGGUUCCUAGUCGGAUUCGUUAACCACUGUGCCACGACGGGAACUCCCACUUGGUGGUUUAAAACAGUGCAGAUAUAUUCUCUGGCCAUUCUGGAAGAAGGAACUCCAGAGUCAGUCUCACAGAGCUAGAGUCAAGGAGUCAGCAGAGCUGGUUCUUUCUGGAGGCUCCAGAGGAGAAUCCAUUCUUUGCUUUUUCCAUUUAUAGAGGCUGCCCACAUUCCUCAGCUCACCGCCCCUUCCUUGAUCUUCAAAGCCAGUCUCAUAGUCUCUUCAAAUCUCCUCUGACCUUGUCCUCUGCUUAUGCCAUUGUAUAUCCUUCCCUUUCCCGCUUCUCUCAUGUUCCCUGACUCUGACCCUCUUGCUUCCCUAUUAUGAGGCCCACUGUGCUGACAUUGAACCUACCUGGAAAGUCCAGGAUACCCUUCCCAUCUCAAGACCCUUAAUUUUCCCUUGUGAGAUCACAUAGUCACAGUUUCUGGAGAUUAGGACAUAGACAUCUUUGGGGGGGGUGAUCAUUAUUGAAUUUACCACAGGAGGCUUCGAGGUGGUUAGAUAUAUGUCCCAAGAUUAGUAUACAGACCACUCAGCACUGUCCAUUGCACCACAGCUCCUCUCUCCCCUUCUGCCAGGAAAUCCUGAGCUGCCCAGUGAACCACAGCCCAAUUUCAGACUCGGAGGGCAGAUCUGAGUUAAGUUCUCCCAAGGCAAUUGGCCUAUGGGACAGAUAUCGCAACAAGUAUUAUAUUUGAAGCAAAUGAUCCUGCAAAACCAGCAGGUCCUGGCUCAGAGAACUGGAGGAUGAGGUGCCGCAUCCUGAUGGGUGGAUGGAUUGUGGGAGGCCAAAGGGAGGGUAGGGCUGGCAGGUGCCCAGAUAGGUGGGAAGAUGAGAUGGAGGAGCCAUGGAAAGAUAGCACAGUCAGGUGGAUUGGGGGCAGGGAAGAGAGACAAAAGGAGGAGGAGCUGACUGGGGAAGGAUGGACUCAGACACCUGGGGACUAUGGUAUCAGGCAGACCUUGGGCUUGAAACUCAGCUCUGCCACUUCUCACGGAUGCUGCAUCUGCCUAACCUCUUUGAGCUGCAGUCUCUUCUCUGUGAAGUGAAAAAUCACACCUCUUAAGGCUGUUAUAUACCACUAUUAUGUGUAUGCUACCUUUUUAUACACAUUUUUGUACUUUUACCAUAAAUACUAUGCAGUGUUUUUUCAGUGUUUUCAUUGAUAUGAUAACAUAUGGUAAGUGUAAUUUUACAUCCAUUUUAACCCAAAAUUAAUUGUUAAAGAUAUACCCAUAAUGAAUGAAUGAAUGAAUGAGAGCAAUUACAGAACAAGCCCUAAGGUGGGAAAACUUUCUUCAAUUGGUGAGCACCUCAUUGACUGGGGAGGAUUUCAAGCACAGGCCAAGUCAUCUUCUUGUGGCUCCUCCAUCUCCUGGGGACCUUCACACCUCUGCCUGGAGUAUUUGCUGGCCCCCUCCCCACUCUGGCUUUUUGGAGUCUGUCCAUCCUUCAGCCAGGACACUUCCUGAAACCAUCUCCAGUUCUUAGGCUCACAGAUGCUGGUGGGGGGGAGUGAAUGCUUCACAAAGAGUAACUAAAAACAGCAACAACAGUGCAGCUUGGCAAUUACACUACAAGUUAAGGAUGGAUGGACAUCCUGUCCAACACACAUAGUCACAACACCCUGACUACUCCCUCCAAGUCUGCCCCAAAUUAAUCUUGCCUAUAAAGAGCUCCAUUUCUCCAGAGGAAGAGCCGCUUUAUUAGAGAAGCCCCUUCUCCAUAAAGAUAGAACAAGCAGACCAAUAAACCUUCCCUGGUUUCGGCAUCACUUUGGAAAUCGAUGUGCUAUGAUUGCGAAUCCAGCCUCUGUCAGCAGCCGCCUAAUUUUAGCUGGAUCUUUGCGGGCUUCUCACCGGGCUCAUCCGCCCCCAUGGACUGGCAGAGCGGUUCCCAGAGCAUCAUUGAUCUUUUGACUAAAGUGUCCUAAUGAAAUACAAAUCUGUUGUCACUUAGAGAGCCAUCUGUCAUGGCAGCACAGAAGAAAUGCUACCAGGAGAACAAUAACCAUAAUUUCAUUUUAAGACCCAGCCUUCUUCUCCCCUUUCCUGCCCCCAAAAAAAGUCAAUAUCUUUCACUGUUUCAUUUUGUCACAGAGCAAUAAGAGGAAAGCCAUCCAUAGGGCGUUAAAGAUGUUUCCAAUUAUGUGCAAAUCCUCUGUUAUAAGGGCCCUUGGCCUCUUGGAGUAGUUAGCACCUAUUUGCAUAAAGGGAGUUAGCCAAAGCUUAUUCUGUGUUCCUGUCUUGGGGCAUCCUGCCCAGGUAAGUGACAGGUGUGCAGUGUUCUUGGAGUCCUGGGGUCACAAGUACCAGCCUUACAGAGCAUCAGGCCUUUCCCGGGGGGAAUGGUCAAAAUAAGCAAAGUUUUUUUUUGUUUGUUUUUGUUUUUUUUUUUAAAUGCAGAAUAAAAUUUUAUUUUAUUUUAUUUUAUUUUUAUUUUUUUAUUUUCCCACUGUACAGCAAGGGGGUCAGGUUAUCCUUACAUGUAUACAUUACAAUUCCUUUUUUCCCCCACCUUUUCUUCUGUUGCAACAUAAGUAUCUAGACAUAGUUCUCAAUGCUAUUCAGCAGGAUCUCCUUGUACAUCUAUUCUAAGUUGUGUCUGAUAGGCCCAAGCUCCCGAUCCCUCCCACUCCCUCCCCCUCCCAUCAGGCAGCCACAAGUCUCUUCUCCAAGUCCAUGAUUUUCUUUUCUGAGGAGAUGUUCAUUUGUGCUGGAUAUUAGAUUCCAGUUAUAAGUGAUAUCAUAUGGUAUUUGUCUUUGUCUUUCUGGCUCAUUUCACUCAGGAUGAGAUUCUCUAGUUCCAUCCAUGUUGCUGCAAAUGGCAUUAUGUCAUUCUUUUUUAUGGCUGAGUAGUAUUCCAUCGUGUAUAUAUACCACAUCUUCCGAAUCCAAUCGUCUGUCAAUGGACAUUUGGGUUGUUUCCAUGUCCUGGCUAUUGUGAAUAGUGCUGCAAUGAACAUGCGGGUGCACGUGUCUCUUUUAAGUAGAGUUUUGUCCGGAUAGAUGCCCAAGAGUGGGAUUGCGGGGUCAUAUGGAAGUUCUAUGUAUAGAUUUCUAAGGUAUCUCCAAACUGUUCUCCAUAGUGGCUGUACCAGUUUACAUUCCCACCAACAGUGCAGGAGGGUUCCCUUUUCUCCACAGCCCCUCCAGCACUUGUUAUUUGUGGAUUUAUUAAUGAUGGCCAUUCUGACUGGUGUGAGGUGGUAUCUCAUGCAACUGACAAGGGCUUAAUCUCUAGAAUAUAUAAACAACUUAUACAACCCAACAGCAAAAAAACCAAUCAAUCAAUGGAAAAAUGGGCAAAAGACCUGAAUAGACAUUUCUCCAAAGAAGAUAUACAGAUGGCCAACAAACACAUGAAAAAAUGCUCAACAUUGCUGAUUAUAAGAGAAACGCAAAUCAAAAUAAGCAAAGUUUAUCUUUGUCUUACAGCCCAGAGCCCAGGCAGUGGGAAUUUCCUGGAAGGAGAGGAGGGAAGGUCUGCUGCUUGCAGGGGGAGAGUGAGUGGCACAGUGUUUUCCUGUCAGGUCUGGGUCAUCAAGUCUGACUAUCCAGCUGCACUGUCUUUCCAAAUGGGGUCUUUGAGAUGCAAGAAGGAAAAGCUGACGUGUCCCAAAUUCACCCAGCACGUUGAUAGUAGAAAGAAAAAAGCCAGUGAUAUUCUCUCUGGUCAACUCCACAGGGGGAAGUGACACUCUGGGCAUUGAAUAUUGUAAUAUAACUGUCUCUCUAUCCUGCAUUUUACAUGCUCCAAAGCCUGGACUUAUUUCAGUAUACUUUUUAAAAAUCAGUUUUGUUGAGAUGAUGUAGAUGUAAUAAAAUUCAGCAAUUUUAACUAUUCAGCUGGUUAAGUUUUGACAUAUGCUUAUAGUUUUUUAACUAUCUCCACGAUGUUCACAUUUCCAUUAGCCUCCAAAUCCCCCCUGUCCUUUUUCAGUCAACCCUUUCCCAUAAUCCAUAGCCUUUGUCAACUGAUCUUCUCUAUGUGGUUUUUCCUUUUCUAAAAUUACGUAAAAAUAAAUCCAUAGAGCAUUUAGUCUUUCACGUCUUUUUAAAAUUUGGCACACUGACAUUAAGAUUCAUCUAUGAUGUUGUCCAUGUCAGUCGUUUAUAUCUUUUUUGGAGUAGAAGUCCAUUGUAUGGAUAUUCCACAUUUUAUCUAUUCAUGAGCUGAUAAAAUUUUUUUCCCUAGUUUUUGGCUAUGAUGAGUAAAGGGACUGUAAAUAUUCUCACACAAGUCUUUAUGUGAAUGUUCGCAUUCUUUCCUCUUGGUACAUACCUUUUAUCAGGAAGUAAUAAAAUGGGGUGAAUAGGCCAUGCAGUAGGGGCAUAUUUAGCUUCUAAGAAAUCGCCAAACUAAUUUCUGAAGUUAAACCAUUUUGCAUUCCCAGCAAUGUAUGAGAGGUCCAGAGGUUCAACAUUCUUGCCAACACUUAGGCAUCUUAAUUUUAGCCGUUCUAGUGGGUGCAUUGCUAUCUCAUUGUGGUUUUAAUUUGCAUUUCCCUAAUAACAACGAUGUUGAAUAUCUUUUCAAAUAUUUAUUUGCCAUAAUAUAUAUUUUCUUUAUUUUCUUUGGUGAAUUUUCUUUUUAUUUACUUAUUUAUUUAUUUAUUUAUUGCUUUGUAGGGCUAUAACUACGGCAUAAGGAAAUUCCCAGACCAGGGGUUGAAUUGGAGCUGCAGCUGCAUCUUCGACCUACGCCACAGCUCAUGGCAAUGCUGGAUCCUUAACCCCCUGAGCAAGGCCAGGGAUUGAACCUGCAUCCUCAUGGACACUAGUUGGGUUCAUAAGCCACCGAGACACAACAGGAACUCCUUUGGUGAAUUUUCUGUUCAGACUUUCUACUUAUUUUAUUGUUGACUAUUGUUAAUACUCUUUAUAUAUUCUGGAUACAUAUGAUUUUUAUAAUCAGAUUGUCCAUCUCAACAAAAUGUCAGUAGAGAUUUUGAUUGGCAUCAUAUUGUAUCUGUAGGUCAAUUUUGGGAUAAUUUACAUCUUCACAAUAUUGAGUUUUCAGUUCCAUGAACAUGGGAUAUUCUCCAUUUAUUUGGCUUUCUUUAAUUCCUGCCAGCAAUAUUUUUUUUAAAUAUUCACAAAUUUCGCUAAAUUUAUCCCUUCAUAUUACACUCUAUAAUGGUAUAUGGGACAUUUUAUUUUUAAUGCAUUUAUAAAUGGUAUUUUGACAAUCUUAGCCAUUUAAUUAGAAUUUUUAGAUCAUUCCAUUUAAGGUAAUAGUAAAUAUAUUUGGAUUUAAAUUCGCCAUAUUGAUAUUUGUUUCUGUUUGUUCCAACUGUCCUUAUCCUACUUAUACUGACUUUUCCUGAAUUAACUGAAAUGUUGUUUGUUUGUUUGUUUUUUGUCUUUUUGCCUUUUCUAGGGCUGCUCCUGUGGCAUAUGCAGGUUCCCAGUCUAGGGGUCGAAUCAGAGCUGUAGCCACUGGCCUACACCAGAGCCAUAGCAACGCGGGAUCUGAGCAGCAUCUGUGACCUACACCACAGCUCACGGCAACACUGGAUCCUUAACCCACUGAGCAAGGCCAGGGAUCGAACCUGCGACCUCAUGGUUCCUAGUCGGAUUCAUUAGCCACUGCACCACGAUGGGAACGCCAACUGAAUGUUUUAAUAUGUUUUUUUAUCUCUGUUACUGGUUUAUUAGUUGUAUUUCAUAUUCAUAUUUUUAUGGGUUGCUCAAGCAUUUUUAGUGUACAGCUUUAUCAGUCUAUCUGUAGAUAAUACUAUGUUAGUACGAGAACUUUAUAACAGUAAAUUUCCACUUCCUCCAUUCUGCUUUAUGCAUUGUUUUCUUACAUUUUAAUUCUACAUGUAUUACAAACCCAACAUAUACUAUUAUUGUUUGUACUUUAAACAAUUACCCUAAAGAGUAAAAUAUGAAAAAAAAAUCAUGUUUAUCAUUCUACUACUUGUCUUUCUUUUGUGUUCAUACUAAUUUCCAUGUGUUAUCAUUUGCCUAUGCCCAAAGGACUUUACUCAAUAUUUUUUGCAGGGCAGGUGAAUUCUCUCUUCUUUUUCUGAAACAAUCUUUAUUGCUUCCAUUUUCAAGUAUUUCCACAGGGUAUAGAAUUCUGUGUUCAUAUUUUUAAAUUUCUUCUUUCUAUCCUUUAAAGAUGCUGGGAGAUUUUUGAUUACUUAUUCAAUCCCCUUACUAGUUACAGAUCUACUCAUAUUUUCCAUUUUCUCAUAUUGUUAAGAUGUCGAUACUACACAAAGCAAUCUACAGACUCAAAUAAAAUUCCUAUCAAAAUCCCAA
rnacentral:lncRNA from 1 species